GACAUUUGCGCAUCUCCCGUCAGAACAGGAACUGCACACGUGUUCACAUUUUCCGUCUGUUGCCCGCAUCGCAGUCAUUGUUGUUUUUGUUACCAAUAAUAACUUUGGAAAUGUGUGCGUUUCUAUCAAAGUGGUCCACCUUCCCAGUGGCCGACAUGGUUGCUGUAUGGACAGUGGAGAGGACAUGGACGUCUCAUUUGUCAUGCCACUUUACUGCCAGCUGUUGAACGUUCUCCUUGAACUCCACCUCCCCUCUCUGCAUCUUCCUGCAUCCGAGUGCCAGCAUCCACCCCUGUUCGACCUGACUGUGCCACAGGCCCUUGUGCUGUUGGAGAGCAGAUGCUGGAAGAGUGUGGGACUGCUGUAACAAUUGUCCACAUACAAAGUGUGUCGCUUGCUGAGAUGAGGAGCCAGCAUGGUCAUCACCACGGACCCGGACACCCCAAGCCCAUCGUAAUGUUGGAUGUCAGUGGUGGACCCUGUGUAAACUAUAAUGUCCUGGACCAAUCCUGUCUUCACGUCGCACAUGCCAAAGAACUUGACCCCAAACCUUUGCCUUUUGGAGGGGUUAUAUUGACGGAACGCCAGCCUACCUUUCCCUAACAUCAGCUCCAAGGCAUAGCGAUUGGUCUCCUCUACUAUGUCUCCCACCAGCUCCUCUGUCAGAAACAACUUGAAGCACUCUGCCUCAGGUGGAAAUGGCAAGGGGUGUUGCACUCCAGACUGGGACUCAUCAAAGCAAAGAGCAAGGCCAGGAGGGGUGAAAUGGCUGUCAGCCUUCCAGCUACCACAGAACUCCUGUACUUCAUCCACUGUCGGUCUGCCUCCAUCACCACCAGCAUCUUCAAAGGUACCUGGGACUUCGUCAGUGGACAAGGAGUCCUCAGAUUCAGGGUUCUCAAUGGCUACAAGGUUGGGGGGCAGCUACUUACUGUCAGAAUUUGUAAGAUUUUCUACUUAGUGUGCCUCUAACAUGCACCAAGCUAACAAACGUUAUUACCAUGAAUUGCAGCUAUUACACAUGUUUUCCACUAACCAACUAGUUAUGUCUCAAUGCAGCUUACACAAGCAAACUGAUGUUUCCACUCACAGCACAUAACAGGAACUGGCCCAACCACAAGCCUGCGGGGGCCCCAUCUCGUGAUAACAGCAACAGUGUCUGGCAUGCCCGACCCUGUGAAAACAGGAACAGGAACACGCACACACACAUAAGCCAUAGCUUAUCCAAGGCACACACACCCUUAUUUAGAGCUUUGAUAGAAACCUAACAUCAUCAGAACAUUGGACCUGAGCCAACCAGAGGAUCGGGACUUCAAGACUCAACCUACUUUCUGUGUUGUAUAAAACAUGUAAACAAACUGUUUUAGGCACUCUCUUCCGCUGGCUCCCUCAGAGCUACUGGAACGAGUCCGUGCACACUGUACCAAAUAUCUUCACUCUGAAUAAACUAUCGCUUGUCAUAUAAUUUAGCGCCUUGUCCGAAUCAGUCCUUGACCGACUCUCCCUUCUUCUCAUUCCAUUUACCAACAAUACUCAGACUUAUUGUCAGAACUUUUUUUAAAUCUCAAGAAUUUCCGCAUUUGUGAGCUGUCUCCUUUUGAAAGACAUUGCUAAUGCUACAGCUUAGCUCACUAGCUACAUACAUAAACAACAACACUGAUUGGCUCGAAGUGGGAGUGAGAGGUUACGUGAUUGACUGCCGACAUGCGCCACUUGUAUCAAUAAAUCCCUAUCAGAAAAUGUUGUGCGUGGU
rnacentral:lncRNA from 1 species